rnacentral:ncRNA from 1 species
GAAGAUAGAGGCGCGUCUUUCAAAAGUAACGGGUGGUGAGGCUGCCGGAGCCUGUGAACGCCAGCGAAAGGGAAAGUCGCCGAAGGCGAUGGCUGGCAAUCAUCCGCCUGGUUGCUUUUGGGAAUACCACGGCAACUGUCAUCAUAUUCCGUAUGAUGGAGCGCUAUCGGU